rnacentral:rRNA from 1 species
AGCAGCCGCGGUAAUUCCAGCUCCAAUAGCGUAUAUUAAAGUUGUUGCAGUUAAAAAGCUCGUAGUUGAAUUUCGGGAUUGACACAUCGGUCGUGCCUUAAGGGGUAUGAACUGGUGUAGUCAAUUUCUCACCUUCUGGAGAACCGCGAUGCCCUUAAUUGGGUGUCACGGGGAACCAGGACCUUUACUUUGAAAAAAUUAGAGUGUUUAAAGCAGGCAUUUUGCUUGAAUACAUUAGCAUGGAAUAAUAAAAUAGGACGGCAUGAUUCUAUUUUGUUGGUUUCUAGGAUCACCGUAAUGAUUAAUAGGGAUAGUUGGGGGCAUUAGUAUUCAAUUGUCAGAGGUGAAAUUCUUGGAUUUAUUGAAGACUAACUACUGCGAAAGCAUUUGCCAAGGAUGUUUCAUUAAUCAAGACGAAAGUUAGGGAUCGAAGACGAUCAGAUACCGUCGUAGUCUUAACCAUAAACUAUAGACCGACUAGGAAUCAGACGAUGUUAAUUUUUAAUGUACUCGUUUGGCA